CAACGUAGUUUGACAGUGAGUUUCAGAAAUUUAUCUUCAAUUGUAUCUCCCUGCUUAAAUACAGAAAACACUGGCUAUCUAGGCUGAAUGGAAGACCGUGCACAUUCUCCUGGAAUGAACACCAGAUGAAAACGAUCAGAUUACCUUACAUGCACAGUUUCAGCAAGUGA
rnacentral:lncRNA from 1 species